rnacentral:rRNA from 1 species
CCUACGGGUGGCAGCAGUGGGGAAUAUUGGGCAAUGGGCGCAAGCCUGACCCAGCAACGCCGCGUGAAGGAAGAAGGCUUUCGGGUUGUAAACUUCUUUUCUCAGGGACGAAGCAAGUGACGGUACCAGAGGAAUAAGCCACGGCUAACUACGUGCCAGCAGCCGCGGUAAUACGUAGGUGGCAAGCGUUAUCCGGAUUUACUGGGUGUAAAGGGCGUGUAGGCGGGACUGCAAGUCAGGUGUGAAAGCCACGGGCUCAACCUGUGGCCUGCAUUUGAAACUGUAGUUCUUGAGUACUGGGGAGGCAGACGGAAUUCCGAGUGUAGCGGUGAAAUGCGGAGAUAUUAGGAGGAACACCAGUGGCGAAGGCGGUCUGCUGGACAGCAACUGACGCUGAGGCGCGAAAGCGUGGGGAGCAAACAGGAUUAGAUACCCGGGUAGUC